rnacentral:rRNA from 1 species
AUGGCAACCUUCGCCCUGACUUUCCUACGGGUGCCCAAAAAGCUUUUCAAGGAGAUCGACAAAGCUCGUCGUCGCUUCUUAUGGGCGCAAGACGAGGAGGUGUCGGGAGGAAAGUGUAAGGUCGCCUGGAAGCUAGUCACCAAACCGGAGGACGAUGGUGGCCUCGGCAUCCAUGACCUGGCGCAGUUUGCGCGGGCCCUCCAACUCAGAUGGCUCUGGUGA